CACGUAGGGUGCGAGCGUUGUCCGGAAUUAUUGGGCGUAAAGAGCUCGUAGGCGGUUUGUCGCGUCGGCCGUGAAAACCUGCAGCUUAACUGUGGGCUUGCGGUCGAUACGGGCAUCACUGGAGUUCGGCAGGGGAGACUGGAAUUCCUGGUGUAGCGGUGAAAUGCGCAGAUAUCAGGAGGAACACCGGUGGCGAAGGCGGAUCUCUGGGCCGUAACUGACGCUGAGGAGCGAAAGCGUGGGGAGCAAACAGG
rnacentral:rRNA from 1 species